rnacentral:rRNA from 1 species
CGCGACCUCAGGUCAGGCGGGGC